AAACAAAAAAAAAUAGCAAAAUUAUAAUAUGUGCAAAUCAACUCAUUGGGCUUUAGUUGGCAAUAUUUCGUUUCUUCUUGCUGCGUUAUUAUGGGUUGUUGCUCCUAUUUUGUGUUUUGGCGAUAAAGACGAGUGUAGCGAGGUGGAA
rnacentral:ribozyme from 1 species